GACGAACGCUGGCGGCGUGCUUAACACAUGCAAGUCGAACGGUAAGGCCCUUCGGGGUACACGAGUGGCGAACGGGUGAGUAACACGUGGGUGAUCUGCCCUGCACUUCGGGAUAAGCCUGGGAAACUGGGUCUAAUACCGGAUAGGACCCUGGGAUGCAUGUCCUGGGGUGGAAAGCUUUUGCGGUGUGGGAUGGGCCCGCGGCCUAUCAGCUUGUUGGUGGGGUGAUGGCCUACCAAGGCGACGACGGGUAGCCGGUCUGAGAGGGUGACCGGUCACACUGGGACUGAGAUACGGCCCAGACUCCUACGGGAGGCAGCAGUGGGGAAUAUUGCACAAUGGGCGCAAGCCUGAUGCAGCGACGCCGCGUGAGGGAUGACGGCCUUCGGGUUGUAAACCUCUUUCAGCUAUGACGAAGCGCAAGUGACGGUAGUAGCAGAAGAAGGACCGGCCAACUACGUGCCAGCAGCCGCCGUAA
rnacentral:rRNA from 1 species